GCUUCCCAGGAGCUCGGCUCCCCGGGAUGGAAGGGACUGAUACCCAGUUAAUGGGCGUGGAGCCUGAGCCCCUGAGGGUCGUCGCUAACGGGGGUCGCUCAGCAGGGCCGGCCUCCGCUGCCUGCCCGGGGUGUCUAAUCACCUCUCCGAUCCUUUGCCCGGAUCUGAGCUUCGUCAUUCACGCCCCUCCUCCCUGGCGACUUUGGGCCUGGUGACAGUCCCCCGACCCUCGCAGAGCCAGGGGCACAGUAGGCGCCUUAGCCACUGGCAGAAUUUCACCGGCGCUCUGCCCGACGCCCCCAGCCCCAGGGCCGGGCGUGGGUGGAAGUGUCUGGAAGGGUGGGUUCACCAGGGCUGGGCACGUCAGCGGCCCCGUACAGAGAAUCCGGUGCCUGGGGUCUCUGGAGGGGGUACUCAGAGUAUCCGAGGAGGAGACUCCUGGAUGCUAACAGAGCCCCCAGUUAGGAGCAGUCCGCGAGACAGUUGGUAACAGUGCUGGCCUUGCCCGGGCGCCGGAAGGUUCCGUGAGGCCCAGCAAGUCCUGACUUGGCACAGGGCCCAGCACACGGGCAUCAAGGUAGGUGGCAACAAAAACGAAGAUGCCAGGACCCCAGCCUUUGAGAUGCUCAUAGCCGAGUGGGGACACAAGACUUGGAGGAGGCGCUCCUGAGAGUUAGAUGUGAAAAGCAGCACCCUAGAGGCGUCCACCAGAGCUGAGGGCACCGGGAGAGAGAGAGGUGGGUUUUGGUGUAGGGGAUGGGGAGGGAGGAGAGCUGGUGGGGGAGGCACAGAGGCCAGGGGACAGCAAAGGCUGCUCUUGAGAAAUCUCAGUGGAGGGCACUGGGCCAUUCCCAGAGGUUGGCACAGCAAAGCCAAAGGCAUGGUGGCAGGAGAGGAGGCCAUGCUCUGAGGAAGGGCCCGCAGCCCAGCGUCAGGGAGGGUAAUGGGGAGGGGAAGGAGAAUGGUGUUGCCGAGCCUGGGCCAGCCUGCAAAGGCUGGAGGAAGCUACCUUGCUUUAUAAAAAUGGGGAGCCAUCGAAGGCCUUUGAGCAGAGGUGGAUGUCAUCCUAUGGAAGUUUUACAAAGACAGCUCCAUAAGCAGAGAAAUGUCCCAGAAAUGUACACGAAACCUAGAAUGACAGCGUCAGGAUGUACUGCAUGAACUUUUACAAUGCUUCCUUUAAAAAAAAUGGUUUUGUGUUUUUUUGUCUGUGUGUGUGUGUGUGUGUGUGUGUGUGUGUGUGUGUGUGUUUGCCCUGUAUAGGUAUGACUAUUCUAACAAAAGAAGGGAGGACAUUUUCAAAAGACAGAGGGGAGCCAGGAGGCAAAGAGACACAGGCAGCAGGAGGGAGCCCAGAGCUGGCGGGCCAGGCUGCCCCUCUCACUGCAGGUCUGGCUGUUUGGGUGAUGGGCCAUCUGGCAGGUCUACAAGGAGCCCAGCAGGCAGGGCGGUGCGGCCUCUGAGAUCCCUCUCUUACCUAGAGCCUGAGCCUUGCCUGACCCAUGACAGUUUCAGGCUGUUCCCCCUCCUCCCAGCAGUCUGUCCCUACCAAACUCCACUCCAUGGGUUAGACUGUGGGACACAGACUGAUCCUUAAAUCCCAUUCUGGGCCAAAUGGGGACAGUGAUUCCAGAGGCCUCCCUACGUCCGUGAGGACACAUCACCCUAUGACAGAGCCCCAGCCACCGUGCUAGGUGCUGUACAGGCAGUGUCUCUUGAUCUGAAUAUAAACCUGAAAAAAAAAUGUUAUUUUCCCAGUUUUGCAGAUCAGGAAAUAGAGGCCCUCACAGUGAGGAGGGAGGGGGAAUUCUCACCCAGGAUGGACCCACCCAAGAGUGCGGAUGGACCACUAGGCUGUACUGCCUGGGGCCCUUUAGGAGAAAAUCCGUCCUCCCAGUCUCCCCAGGUCUCUUGCCUUUGGCCUGCUCUGGUUCCUGUUAUAGAAUGGGGGCUGCAGGUAGGCACCCCUCUGAGCUAGUCCCCUGUCCUUGGGCCGCCUCUCCUAGGCAAACUCCUAUUUAGCCCGUGAAGCCCAAUUAAAUUAUCGCUUCCUCUCCCGAGUCCUCUGGCUGCACCCCUGUCCUCUUCUCUGUGUUCCUGCGGAGCUCCCAAAGGGAGGGGAGAAAAGGCUCAGGGGACAUGGCUGGGACACAACUUCCAGCCCAGCCCUGCGUGGGCAGAGAGGAGGGAACAGUCCAUCUAUUCUAGGCUGGACGUGAGAGGGAGGACGGCCUUGGCUCAACCCGGGGUAAGGCAGGCUGACCAGCCCCUGGGGUUAUUUGGCUUGGCAGUCAGAGGAGGACAAGUUGCAGGAGAGAGAAUCAAAGAUUCAGGCUGCCUAGUGUGGCCACCGCCCCAUCAGCCCUAAGAUGAUCGCAGCCCCUUUCUGGCCACUGAAUAUGUGGGCACCCCAGACCUCUGUGGCAAGGCUGGGUGAGAGCUGUCUUUUGUGCACAGGUGCCCCUAGUCCCCCACCACUAGUGAGCAUUCACACACAGAGGUGAACAGCCCCCUUGUGGGCCUGGAGGCUCCUAGGCCAGGUAGAGAUGACCAGAGUAGGGAGCAGAGAAUCCCCAGUGCCUAGCACAGUGACUGGCACUGAAGCAUUUGUUGGAUGAAUGAAUGAGUGAUUGCCUGACCUCAGGCCCAGGGAGGAAGGCCUGGUGUGCAGGGCAGCUCCUGGGAGGCUUCAGGGAUGGGGAGAGGACAGAGAGGGACUGGGAGAGCCACAGGAAGGCAGCCUCAUCUGAUGACUGACUUGGGAGGGAAACAGAAUGUGGGCUGUGUUUCUGGGGAAACACCCCCCUGAUGCCCGGGCACCCAGGAACUUCCAGGUACCCCCGGAUCACCCCAGUGAGGACACUCCACAAUUCCCCAGGAGGCAUCACAGUGGGGCCGUUAAACCCAGGGACUUGGGAUUCAGACACUUCUGGGCUCCAGUCCACCCCUCACUGGCUGGACCAGUUGCCUCAGUUUCCCUAUGUGCACGGGGGACGGAUAGGACCACGUGCUGCACAGGUUUGCUGGGAAGGCCAUAUGAGAGGUGCCGGCUCAGCACAUCCUGUCUGCCAUUGUUACAAACAACAGCACGGGAGAGUCGGGGAGCAGAGUCGGCCAAACGCAAGACCCUGGGCUCUGGCUUCCCUGUGCUACUGACCUAUGGGGUGGCUUUGGACAAGGCCCAGCCUUUCUCCAGGCCUUAGUUUCCCCAUUUGUACAGUCAGGCCCUGCUAACUUGGACAGACUUUGGCCCUUCUCCAAGCCCCACAGAGACAUCAGAGACAUGUGCACACACGGCCCUGGGAUUGCCGACAGACACACAGGCACACAUAGGCACGUACACACAGGCAUACAGACACAGGCACAGACUCACACUCGGCCCCUCCCCACUCACACUCGCUCACACUCAUGCUCACACUCACACCAACCCCCCUCCCCCAAAUCUGCUGCGCACCAACGGUUGGUGCGAGCGGGGUUGAGAACGGGAGGAAAAAAGCCCACGACUCAGCCCGGGAAGAGGGGUGCGGUGGGGGAAGGGCGGGCGAGGGAAAUGACAGCCCGCGGUCCCCCUCGAGUCCCGGCUCAUGAAUAUUAAUACGGCGGUAAUUAAAAUGCAGGGACGCAGCAGGAUGGAUGCGGCUGCCUCCGGAGCGCGGGGGAGCGCGGAGUCUUUGCAGGCGGGUGAAGCCCGCUCCUCGCCGGCGAAAAGCGGGGCCGGGCUCCGGGGCCUGGGUCCGGGGCGGGCGGGAGUGGGGACAUUUUUCGUGGUCCCGAGCGUCCCGUCCCGGCGUCCCCGCCCCCGCCCCGCGGCCGCCUCUCCACGCCCUGCCCCGGGCCGCCCGCCAGGCCGCCGUUUCCCGGAGCCGGCCCCCUCCCGCCCUCGCGGCCGGCUGAUGUCAUCUGCACACAACUUUCCGCUUCCCGGCCCGUCUCGGGGCCCUGAGUCAUCGCCGCCCCCGGCCCCGACGCUGGCCUGCGGCGUCUGUUUGUGCAGAGCGAGGCCCCGCCGGCCGGGCUUGACGUCAGGCUGGCAGGGCCUGGAACGGCCCCGCAUCGCGGCCCCCUGGGGGCAGGACGACACCGCUGGGGGCCGAGGGCAGGGCACGCCUUCGGAAUCCGGCUUCGAAGCCGGCCGCCUGACCUGGGGCAAGUGCUUUCAACUCUCUGAACUUCGGUUCCUCAUCUGCCAGUUGGCAGACGCUCAGCAAAUCUUCCUAGACUCACGGGGCGAAUUGUACAGUUGGGUAAAUCGAGGCCCAGAGAUGGCAAAAGGACCGUCCAAGGUCGUACAGCCACCCGGAAUUACAAUUCUUUUCUGCCGGGUCACACGCUGUCAUCCACGUGUUACCUAAGAGAGCUUUCCAGCCUGUGCUAAGAAAACUGCCCCACAUCAUCUGCAGUAGGACGGGGGAGUUGGAGCCCUGGUCAGGCCACUCUGCUACUGACCACAGUUUUCUCAUCUCUAAAAAGGCGCAGUAACAAUAUAAUUACCGUAUGCAGUCCCCCAGGAUACAGGGUCAAAGGAGAGCACAACCAUCGCAGUUGGAAGCCCAUGGGGCAGCAGGGCCCAGGACACAGUGAGCAUACAAUAGACAUUAGCUGCUGUGGUGUCUUGAUUUCAAGCCCAGUGCAGAUGCAUCUGACUUACGAAACUUCAGUGACACCUGCUCUGUGCCAGACACUGAAGAUGGAGCAGUGAACAGCACUGACCCAGCCUGUCCUCCUGUUGCCUGCAGGCCAGAAGCAAGGUCUCGCUGUGUUACCCUGGCUGGAGUGCAGUGGCUACUUACAGGCAUGAUCAUAGCAUACUGCAGCCUCGAACUCCUGGACUAGAGCAGUUCUCCUGCCUCAGCCUCCAGAGCAGCUGGGACUGCAGACACGCACCACAGAGCCCAGCCUGAGUCAUUUUGAUUCUGUAACUGGCUUCCUCUCGGCGGGCAGGCUCACACCCUCCACCCCCAGCUGGAGAUGGAAGGAGGAUGCUCACCGCCCAUUCCUCAUGCAGGCCAUCGAUGGAAAUGUCAGACAGUGCGAGUCCACGCCUGAACACUUCUGGGGUCCGCUCUGGGACUGACACUGGCAGAUCCAUCGGUGAGCUCCCGCCUGCCACCUCUGGGCCUGCAUUGCGGUGAUAGGGCCAAGGGCCUGGGCCUUCAAUUCUCCAGACUUGCCAAAAUGCUCAGCGCAGGCCUCGUCGGCAACUGCAGACAAGCAGAGGCAGCACCUGGGCUCUGCCUGUGCCUGGCACAGUGAAGCGAGGGUGGGGGCAGGAAUGAGGGUCCUCUCCAUGCAAGGGGGGAAGAUAGAAGAACAAAAUUUCACCCUAAUGUAGUGUCUUUAGACCGUGCAAUGUUGUGCUCCUGUUAGUCUGAUAUCAGGGGCUUGCAGCCUGGCAAAGGAAAAAAAACAGGCUGAGGCACAUGAUAGAAGACAGGCAGGGAUGCCACAAUCAUAACCAUGGCAAAGACCAGGAUCAGAAAGGCCCACCAUCUCUGACCCCAAAUCCCUGGGCAGAUGGUUCCAGAACUCAGAAUUUUCCCAGUUGUAGAAAGAUGGGGCCAGGUGCAGUGGCUCACGCCUGUAAUCCCAGCAUUUUGGGAGUACAAGGUGGGCGGAUCACCUGAGGUCAGGAGUUCGAGACCAGCCUGGCCAACAUGGUGAAACCCUGUCUCUACUAAAAAAAAAAAAAAAAAUUAGCCGGGCGUGGCGAUGCAUGCCUGUAAUCCCAGCUACUCGGGAGGCUGAGCCAGGAGAAUUGCUUGAACCCGGGAGGCGGAGGUUGCAGUGAGCCAAGAUCGCGCCACUACACUCCAGUCCGGGCGACAGAGCAAGAGUCCAUUCCCCCACCACCAAAAAAAAAAAAAAAAGAAAGAAAGAUGAUGUGAUACAUAUCACAUAUUUCCUAACACCCCCAACCAAACACAUUUAUGCAUAUGCAUAAAGCAGACGAGGAAAGAUUCUAAAUAGGCUCUGAAUCUCAGUUUUCUCAUCUCUACAAUGGGGCAGUGAUGGCAUGCACCUCCCAGGGCUGUUCUGAGAAUCUGAUGCCUCCCAUUGCACUGGUGAGCCUGGCACAGGCACAGGUCCCACCCCAGGCCCUUUGAACUGGCUGUUCCUUUGGCCUGGAACAUUCCUCCCCAGAUACCUCCUGAGAGGGCUCCCUCACUUCCUUCAAGGCACUGCUCAAAUGCUACCUCUUCACAGAGGCUUUCCCUGACCACCCCGUCUCUUUCCUCUUCCUGCAUAGCCUCUGUCACCUGACAUUUUAUGUCAUAAAUUACUCAUUUAUUAAUUUCCUGCUCUCCCACAGUGGCACCCGAGCUCUGUGAGGGCAAGACUUUGUUCGGUUGUGGGCUAUGCCCCCAACCCCUCGGACAGUGCCUGCACAGGUGGACAUUUUUGUUGGAUGAAGGAUUUUCUGUUAAAUGUGUCUGGCACACACAGAAAAACAAAGCCCAGCAGAUGCCGUUCCAUUGUUUGCUGACUUUCAUUGAUUCUAUGAGAAGUCUGCAGUCUUUUGCAGCGUUGUUUUCCUAUGUAUAAUUGUCUCCUCCCACCCCACUCACCCCAGCUGCUUUCCACAUUCUCUCUCUUUGAUUUUCAGCAGUCUGCCCAUGAUGUGCCUAAAUAGGACUUUCUUUGCAUUCAUCUUGGCUGGGGCUCACUGAACUUUCUGAAUCUGUAGAUUAAUUUUCUUUUUUCAAUAAACCUUGGAAUAUUUUCAGCAUAAUUUUUUUCCUGUCUUCUUCUCUCUCUUUUCUCCUCUGAAAUGCCAAUUAAAUAUAUGUUAGACUGCUUUAUCCUGCCCCACAACUUACUGAGGCGAAAUUUUUCAAUCACUUCUCUUUGUGCUUCUGAUGACACUGGUGGCCCAUCUGGAGUGGCCGCUGCCAUCACACCAGCUGCAGGGGGAGGUGCAGCCAGGCUGCACAUUCCAUGGAGCCAGCAGGAACUGCAGACAGGUGGGAGCCCCACCUCUUCUGAGCUAGUGGGGCAGGAGCUCCCUGGAUGCAGCCGCAGCCACCCAAGUUAUGCCUGUGGACCCGGGCCUCCCACUGCAUGAAGCAGGCAGAAACCCCACCCCACUAGGCACAGCUGCCACCCAAGUUGUGGCUGCAGACCCAGGGCUCCCUGGGCUCCUGCUAGGGGCAGGAGCAGGCAGAAGCCCUGCCCUUCCAGGCGCAGCUGCAGCCACCCACAUUACAGCUGCAGACCAAAGCCUCCCAAUCCAUGGAGCAGGCAGAAGCCUUGUGCACCCCACUCUGCCCCGUGCAGCUGCAGGGCCCAAACAUGAGCAGGUCAGUGCUGACACGCCAGCCCCCAGCCACUUCGGCCCCCUCCAGACUUUGGGCACCAACGAGCACAGGAGGGAAGCUGAUGGGGGCUGAGGGCAGCUCAGCACUGGCCUGCAGGUGCCCCUUGGCACCUACAGCCUGGGUGCCAUGAAUGGCAGCAGGAGGCAGACAGCUUCCUGGGCAGAAGGGGGUGGGUCUCUGGUGAGGUCCCACCUUCAGGCCAGGGAAGGCCUGAAGGCUGGGGGCCAGACUGCCAGUCCUGCAGACUGAAGUGGGAAACUUGUGGUGCCUUUUCUGGGCCUGCCCAUGGCCGCCUAUGGACCAAUUGGCGUGUACUUCCUCCCCUCUGAGGCCCAUAAAAGCCCCAGGCUCAGCCAGAGCUGAGCAGAGGUCAGGAAGGCCAGCUGCAGAGAGGAGCUACCCACUCCAGGGCCUCCUCUGAGCUAUUCUGUUACUCAGUAAAGCUCCUUUCGCCUUGCUGCCCCUCCACUUAAUUCUUCCUAGACACAGGACAAGAACUUGGGACCAGCCAAAUGGUAAGGCUGAAAGAGCUGUAACACAAACAAGGCUGAAAUACAUCCAUUGUGAGUGAAGAGAAGUAGAGAAGAGCCACAGCCCUUCAGGGAGCCCAGACCUGAGAACUCCCCAAGCCAGGGCUGUGACCCCCUCUUUGGGGCCCUGCAGUUCCCAGAGUCUCCAAGCUUCUGGGCACCACCAUGUUCCCCAGUGGCAGCCUUGAAAGAUGCUUGCAGUGUGUCUGAUCCAGUCACAGCCUCACAGAGAGCCAGCACUGAUGCUGGCACCUGGAGCUGUCCACCCUGCUGCAGCAGCUGGUAUGCCUGUGUGCAGUGGCCAGACCCCAUGUUUGUUUGCUCACACACCCCUGGCCACUCCACACCUGGCUCGCCCUUGGCAGACAUGAGAUCCAGGCUGGUAGAGUGAGCUGAGUGCAACCAGGCCAAGUGGGUGGAACGAGCCUAGUGGGCCUGAGCAAAUCUCAGGCAAAGGUGCCACAGUCCAGAGGUUUCCAGCUAAAAAAGUGACACCCCAAGGAUCCUGCAACACUUUAUGUAGAUAAUUUCUACCGACCUGUCUUUACAUUUAUUGGCCCUCUUAAAAUUGGGUCUAAUAUGCUAUUUUUUUUUUAGACAAGCUCUCACUUGGUCACCCAGACUAGAGUAUAGUGACAUGAUCACAGCUCACUGCAGGCUCAAACUCCUGAGCUUAAGCGAUCCUCCUGCCUCAGCCUCCCAGGUAGCUGGGACUGUGGAUACAUGCCAUCAUGCCCAGCUUAUUUUUGCAUUUUUUGUAGAGAUGGGGUUUUGCCAUGUUGCCCAGGCUGGUCUUGAACUCCUGGUCUCAAUAAUCCUCCUGCCUUGGCUUAGUGCUGGGAUUAUAGAUAUAAGCCAUUGUGCUCAGACAAGUCUAACAGGCUUUAGUCCCAUCAAAUGAAUAUUCAAUUUCAGACAUUGUAUUUUUUAGCUUAAAAUUUAAUCUGAUUCUCUCUUUUUAAAAAAUAGUUGCCAUAUCUCCCCCCCACACACCUUUUUUUUGAGACAGAGUCUCAUUCUAUUGCCCAGGGUAUGCAGUGGCAUGAUCCUGGCUCACUGCAACAUCCGUCUCCUGUGUUCAAGCGAUUCUCUUGCCUCAGCCUCCCUCCUACAACUACAGGUGCAUACCACCACUCCUGACUAAUUUUUUGUAUUUUUGGUAGAGACAGGGCAUGUUGGCCAGGCUGGUCUCUAACUCCUGGCCUCAAGUGAUCCACCUGCCUCAGCCUCCCAAUGUGUUGAGAUUACAGGCAUGAGCCACCAUGCACAACCUUGUUAUGGGUUUAAUUACAUCCACCACCUUCAAAAGAUACGUUGUAUUCCUAACCCCCAAUACCUCAGACUGUGACCUCAUUUAGAAAUGGUGUCAUUGCUGAUGUAAUUACUUAAGAUAAUAUCAUAGUGGAAUAAGGUAGGCCCUUAAUGAAAUAUGACUGGUGUCAAUUUUUUUUUUUUUUUGAGACAGGGUCUCACUGUUGCCCAGGCUGGAGUGCAAUGGUGCAAUCUUGGCCCACUGCAACCUCUGCCUCCCAGGCUCAAGCAAUCCUCCCACC
rnacentral:lncRNA from 1 species